ACCGAUAGCACGUGAAUCUUCCCAUUCUGGCAGCUCCUCGGUUACCCGCAUUACCCAUACCUGUGUUCUAUGUUUGUGUUCCACAUUCUACGAUUUAAAAAGUGAAUGUAUCGCAUUGCUGAAAUAUUUCAAAAGUUAGAUAUUAAUUUUCAACCUCAAAUAUGCCAAGACAACGACCCAAUUGUCCUAGUACACCAGCCUCCUCUCUGACUUCUCGAAGUGCAGUAACUGCUGGUUCUUCCUCAGGCUCUACACCACCACCAGGUACAAUCCAACUAUCAGGCCUUCGACUGGACGUAACCAAAAGAAC